UGGUUGGCCUCCCGACCCUCCUCUUCCUCCUCCGCCGCCGCCAGCGGUCCGUCCGACUCCUCGAGGCGGGUGUGUGAGAACGCCGGAUCCGGUUCUCUCCUCCCCCCUCCCACGCCCCCCCAGCAGGCAGGGCUCAAGAGGAGCGCAUGGGAGCUCCCUCACCCUCCCUCCCCCGUCCGUCUCUCUCUUACUCCCUCACCCCCCUCGCUGGUCUCUUCACAGGGUAACGCAGAGGAGGUGCGUGGCAGUCCAGGAAGCGCUCAUUCUGUCCGUCUCUCCGCUUGACCCCCCAACCCCCGUCCGCCAGUCUCACGGAUCCCUCGUCCGUCUCGGCUCCUUCCUUUUUUCCCCCGCGUGUGUUCGUCGUCGUCCUCCUCCUCGGAUGAGAUAAGCGCUGCCCCUCGCCUCUGGUUCCAGACUGCAGCAGGCAGCGAGCGGCAGGAAAAUGAAAGCACAAAGCAGCAAAAUGCAUCAGCAUGAAUAUUAGAGAUGUCGUUAAAACCCAGACUCGUUUCUCUCUCUCUCUCUCUCUCUCUUUCUCUCUCGCUCACUCACUCCCCUCCUCUCUCUCCACGCUCUCUCUCUCUCUUUAUAAAAGGAAGUAGGCCAGCAGAUGGUGCUAGCAGUUAUUACAUUAACUUUCACAAAUUAACCCUCCAAGUACCGGCCUCCGCCUGUUUGCCGUCCUCCUUUUUAGGACAUAUUUAGAGGUUGUUAGAGUACCAAUGAUUGUCACACACACACACACUAGGUGUGGUGAAAUUAUCCUCUGCAUUUGACCCAUCACCCUUGAUCACCCCCUGGGAGGUGAGGGGAGCAGUGAGCAGCAGCGGUGGCCGCGCCCGGGAUUCAUUUUGAUGAUUUAACCCCCAAUUCCAACCCUUCAGCUUGAUGCUGAGUGCCAUUUUUAUAGUCUCACACUAGGUGUGGUGAAAUGAUCCUCUGCAUUUGACCCAUCACCCUUGAUCACCCACCUGGGAGGUGAGGGGAGCAGUGAGCGGCAGCGGUGGCCGUGCCCGGGAAUCAUUUUGGUGAAUUAACCCCCAAUUCCAUCCCUUGAUGCCGAGUGCCAAGCAGGGAGGUAAUGGGUCCCAUUUUGUAUAGUCUCACACUAGGUGUGGUGAAAUUAUCCUCUGCAUUUGACCCAUCACCCUUGAUCACCCACCUGGGAGGUGAGGGGAGCAGUGAGCAGCAGCGGGGGCCGCACCCGGGGAUAAUUUUGGUGAUUUAACCCCCAAUUCCAACCCUUGAUGCUGAGUGCCAUUUUUAUAGUCUCACACUAGGUGUGGUGAAAUUAUCCUCUGCAUUUGACCCAUCACCCUUGAUCACCCCCUGGGAGGUGAGGGGAGCGGUGAGCGGCAGCGGUGGCCGUGCCCGGGAAUCAUUUUGGUGAUUUAACCCUUAAUUCCAACCCUUAAUGCUGAGUGCCAUUUCUAUAAUCUCACACUAGGUGUGGUGAAAUGAUCCUCUGCAUUUGACCCAGCACCCUCGAUCACCCCCUGGGCAGCGAGGGGAGCAGUGAGCCGCAGCAGCGGUGGCCGUGCCCGGGAAUCAUUUUGGUGAUUUAACCCCCAAUUCCAUCCCUUGAUGCCGAGUGCCAAGCAGGGAGGUAAUGGGUGCCAUUUUUAUAGUCUCAUACUAGGUGUGGUGAAAUGAUCCUCUGCAUUUGACCCAUCACCCUUGAUCACCCCCUGGGAGGUGAGGGGAGCGGUGAGCGGCAGCGGUGGCCGUGCCCGGGAAUCAUUUUGGUGAUUUAACCCUUAAUUCCAACCCUUAAUGCUGAGUGCCAUUUCUAUAAUCUCACACUAGGUGUGGUGAAAUGAUCCUCUGCAUUUGACCCAGCACCCUCGAUCACCCCCUGGGCAGCGAGGGGAGCAGUGAGCCGCAGCAGCGGUGGCCGUGCCCGGGAAUCAUUUUGGUGAUUUAACCCCCAAUUCCAUCCCUUGAUGCCGAGUGCCAAGCAGGGAGGUAAUGGGUGCCAUUUUUAUAGUCUCAUACUAGGUGUGGUGAAAUGAUCCUCUGCAUUUGACCCAUCACUCUUGAUCACCCACCUGGGAGGUGAGGGGAGCAGUGAGCAGCAGCGGUGGCUGCGCCCGGGUAUCAUUUUGGUGAUUUAACCCCCAAUUCCAACCCUUGAUGCUGAGUUCCAUUUUUAUAGUCUCACACUAGGUGUGGUGAAAUUAUCCUCUGCAUUUGACCCAUCACCCUUGGGCACCCCCUGGAAGGUGAGGGCAGCGGUGGCCGCGCUCGAGAAUCAUUUUGGUGAUUUAACCCCCAAUUCCAACCCUUGAUGCCGAGUGCCAAGCAGGGAGGUAAUGGGUCCCAUUUUUAUAGUCUCACACUAGCUGUGGUGAAACUACCCUCUGCAUUUGACCCAUCCCCUUGUUCCACCCCCCUGGGAGGUGAGGGGAGCAGUGAGCAGCAGCGGUGGCUGUGCUCAGGAAUUAUUUUGGUGAUUUAACCCCCAAUUCCAACCCUUGAUGCCGAGUGCCAAGCAGGGAGGUAAUGGGUCCCAUUUGUAUAGUCUUUGGUAUGACUUACACGGCCCCCUGACACCCCUUCUCAACUGUCUAUGCGACGUCAAGGCUUGUUUAGCCCAGAUUUUUUUAAUAAUGAAUGAGGGGAAAAACGGAAGUUUUAGUUUUUGGUCCGGCCCUCAUUGACUUGGGACCAUUGCGAAAUGAUGUGUCCCAAAGUCACCAGCCUUGGCGUCACUAUUGACAGUGAUUUUAAACUUAACAAACAAGUCAAUGGCGUUUUAAAAUCGUGUUUUUAUCAUCUCAGGGUUCGUCGUGCACCUUUUCCAUGGCCAAAUUCAAGCACUUUUUAAGGACUCUCAAGAUAAAUUUUCCAGUAGCCUUCAAAAGGCGAAAACCAGUGUGAAUCAAUCCAUAGCCUUGUUGUUUGAGGUCACCAAAUGCUGUCUGUAGGAAAAAUAUGGAAAAUCUGCUAAAACCUGAGCCUAACAUUGAACCAGCAGUUAUCUUUAACUGAAUGGGGCAUAAAGUAUUCAAUGUCAUUGGUGUUUGCAAACUUGUCUCCAUUUGUGUUUCCCCCCCAAAUUUCUCAUUCUUUUUCUUACUUACAGCACUCAAUGACAUCGAACAGCACGAAUGGAUUCGCACCAUAUUUGUUUUUGUAAACUGCAUAAUGUGACAUAAAUACACGCACCCUCAAAAUGUCAAUUCCACUCAUUUAUUAACAAAACUGUUCCACAUUAUUAUAAGGAUAAUAAAUUAAAGGAAAAUAUUUUGUUUCACAACACCUCCGUCUCCUUUCAUUAAGCAUAUCUAACCUUAUAACUUUGGCUAUGAUAAGAAAUUAACAAAAAGACAAAAGUUAACUUUUUUUUUUUGCUUUCGCUGAGGUAGCCAGACAAGUGAAGUAGACAAUGAAAAAAAUAGAGCAAGAAAUGCAUACAACCAUGUUGUGUAAAAACUAAAAAAUCAUUCAUAUUAACUCACCUCUAAGUUGUGAACAAGGUUACAAAUUAUACCUUACAUGACCUUCACAGUACAAACAAGUCCAAUAAUGCAACCAUUUUAAUGCAAUUAACCAAAACUACAAAAUGUAACUUGUUUGCUUUAACUGAGGUAGUCAGACAAGUUAAGUAGACAACCAAAAUAAUGGAGCAAAAAAUACAUUCACGUUGGAUUUACUUUUUACUUUUUACAAGUGGAUUUGGUCCACGUUUUAUCCAAAGUUUGUAUUUGUCAUUUUCCAUCCAAUGUUCAUUAAAACGACAACCUCCCGGCAUGAUGGACCGAUGCACUACUGUCCUCUUGGGGGAGACACAACCGUAUAUACGGCUCUGGCAUGACAACAACCUAAUGCAAGGGCUCGUGCAAAGCCAACAGAUCAAGCGUGGAGCUUUCAUUUUUUAAGGAAACUUAUUUAAUUUUUUUCCAUUUUAUAAUUAGCCUACUAUUAGUCAGACUGCCGAGAAAUAUGAUGAACAUUUACAAGCACUUCACCCAAAAUUCAAACAUUUUUCAAACCUUGAAAACACAACAUUCAAAUCCAAGCAUUUUCAAGGUUUUUAAGCACCCGUACGAACCCUGCUUUUAGCAAAAGUAAAACCGUUUUUAUCUUUUAACUAGGGCUGCAACUAACAACUAAUUUGAUAUUCGAUUAAUCUGUCAAUUAUUACUUCGAUUAAUCGUUUAAUAAUCGGAUAAAAGAGACAAACUACAUUUCUAUCCUUUCCAGUAUUUUAUUGGGAAAAAAACAGCAUACUGGCACCAUACUUAUUUUGAUUAUUGUUUCUCAGCUGUUUGUAAAUGUUGCAGUUUAUAAAAAAUAAAAAUAAAAUAAUUUAAUUUAAAAAAAAAUAGCCUCUGCGCAUGCGCAUAGCAUAGAUCCAACGAAUCGAUGACUAAAAUAAUCGCCAACUAUUUUUAUAAUCGAGUUUAAUCGAUUAGUUGUUGCAGCCCUACUUUUAACCUUCUUGAGCAAAUCGUGCAUGCUUUUAUUUCAAGUCGCCUGGACUACUGCAAUGCACUUUAUGCUGGCAUUAGCCAAAAAGCUCUCUUCCGGUUGACGUUAGUCCAGAACGCGGCAGCCAGACUUAACAGGGGCCAGGAAACGCGAGCAUAUAACCCAAAUUCUUGAGACUUUGCACUGGCUCCCUGUUCAUUUUAGAAUUGAUUUUAAAAUUUUGCUGUUUGGUUUUAAAACUUUGCAUGGACUGGCACCUCAUCCAAAUGUACACUCCUGCGCGCGCUCUGAGGUCCGAGAGUCAGCGCCAGCUCGUGGUGCCCAAGACGAGACUUAAAACCAGGGGAGACAGGGCAUUCUCUGUGGUCGGCCCUAAGUUCUGGAAAACUCCAGAGCUUAGGGGUGUUUUAAGUCUCGUCUUAAGACCCACUUUUAUUCUCUUGCUUUUAACACUCCGUGAGUUGUGUGGUCCUCUGUCUUUUUACAUUUAUAUUUCCAUUUAUUGUUUUAAUUAGUUUUACCCUUUAAAAUUGUUUUUAAUCAUAUCUUUUUUUAUAUUGGUUUUAUACUUAUUUUGUUUUUAUUCAGUCAUUGGUGGAGCUAAGGAUAGUACUUGAAUCUUGUUUUUAAUAUUUUUGUGCAGCACUUUGGAAACAUUUUUGUUGUUUAAAUGUGCUAUAUAAAUAAAGUGGAUUGGAUUGGAUUACACUUGACCCAGGCCCCGUUUACUAGAGCUGAGAAUGUUUGGACACCACACGAUUUAAUUAGAUUCGAUUCAAAAGCAAUCCUUUUUUUAAUAAUGUUGGAUGCCAGUUCUAUGAUUAACUACAUCCCUCCAUAAAAUAGAUAACAGCUCUGAUAAAUGUAUAUAUUACAGAAAAGAAACUUGGUUUUGUUUAAUAGAAUUCCACCCAAACUUUUAAUCAAAUCAAAUACAAAUAAGGCAACAAGAGAAGUAUCACACACUUCUCUUUUCUGAAGUAAAUAUUGUACAGCAAAUAUGGGAAUCUACAUCAACAAUAUGAUUUGCCCGAGUGGUUGGACAGAACAGAUUCAACACACACACACACACACACACACACACACACACACACACACACACACACACACACACACACACACACACACACACACACACACACACACACACACACACACACACACACACACACACACACACACACACACACACACACACACACACACACACACAUAUAUAGCAUACAGUACAUAUCCUUUUUAUGCUUGGUGAAAAUAUUUAAUGAAUAAAUAAUAAUCCUACUUCGCUAAAAUCAUUAUAUGGCGAUCAUGUUGGUGUCAAUAAACCACAAAAAACAAGGGACAAUUGCAAUUCUUGCAAAUUUGCAGCGACAAGCAAACCAACAACGUACUCAACACAAUGUAGCAUUCUUGAUAGCGGCUAAUGUUUCUCCACAGCGCAAAGCCACUUUAAGUCAGCAAUCCUCGUCUACAUAGCGUUAAAAAAAAGAUGUUUCUUACAAGUAUCAUUACUGGAGGAUGAGUAAUAGCGAAACAUGCUAUGAUACACAAUGUAGGAGGAUAACCGCGAGCUAAAGCCCUUGAACGGGUAAAAUACAGACAGUAACGAUACCAACUAUAGUAUCAGUAUAUGGAUCGAUAUUUUUUACUGUCAAAAACACUUUCGCUGUUUGUGAUGUUGUUUACAAACUCAGGGAAAAAAAGUCCCUCGGCACAGGAAAGCUGAAAGGGCAAAAGCAAUAGAUUUAAAUCAGAGCCAUUAGUAGAAAAUAAUUGAGAUAUUUGAUAUUUUUACACAAUUAUCUUGUGUUUUUAUCUGAUUAUAUCUGUGAUCAAAAACUGAAUCAUUCAAUGAUCUUGAAAAUUUGAAGUGUAAGUACCGUAUUUUUCGGACUAUAAGUCGCAGUUUUUUUUCAUAGUUUGGCCGGGGGUGCGACUUAUACUCAGGAGCGACUUAUGUGUGAAAUUAUUAACACAUUACCGUAAAAUAUCAAAUAAUAUUAUUUAGCUCAUUCACGUAAGAGACUAGACGUAGAAGAUUUCAUGGGAUUUAGCGAUUAGGAGUGACAGAUUGUUUGGUAAACGUGUAGCAUGUUCUAUAUGUUAUAGUUAUUUGAAUGACUCUUACCAUAAUAUGUUGCGUUAACAUACCAGUUGGUUAUUUAUGCCUCAUAUAACGUACACUUAUUCAGCCUGUUGUUCACUAUUCUUUAUUUGUUUAAAAUUGCCUUUCAAAUGUCUAUUCUUGGUGUUGGGUUUUAUCAAAUAAAUUUCCCCCAAAAAUGUGACUUAUACUCCAGUGCGACUUAUAUAUAUUUUUCCUUCUUUAUUAUGCAUUUUCGGCAGGUGCGACUUAUACUACGGUGCGACUUAUACUCCGAAAAAUACGGUAUCACUAUUGGUACGACCAAUACUGCACCUGUAAUUACAUGGUAUUAGAGCGAUACGCAAAUUUGUAGUAUCGCCCAAAACUAACAUGAAUUAACCAAAAAAACUGAAGAAUAAGUACUUAUUACAUUUUAACAGAAGUGCAGAUAGAACCAUGUUACAACAGAAAUAAACCACAUAUUAUACAACAGGAAAUGGCGCGAUAUGUUACCGCAUACAUCCGCAGCCAAAUUAGGAGCCUUUUUAAUCCACUUUGAAAUUGUUCGAUUAUCAUUUAUACACCAAAUAAUACAUCUUAAUAAGUAUCAUUAUGGCAGGAGGCUGCAAUAUAUAUCGCAAUAUAUAUUUUCACCAAAAGUGUGUGACAAUCAUUGGUACUUUAACUUUUAGGCCAUUUAGCUCAUCCUAGUAACCGUCACAUUUUAUGAAAGAAAUCAGUGGAGAGAUGCCAAAAAAAUGAUCAGGAAACUCAAAACCUGCAGCAUGCUUGUUGAAAUAUGAAAAAUGGUGUCAAGACCUGGUGUUCGGACUAUGAAUCCCAAACAACACAAAAACAGAACAGUCCAAGAGAGGAAGUGCAAGUCUUCCUGUGGUCCAGUGGUGGCAGUUGACGAGAGGCUCUGGCCUUUCGAUGACUCCCGACUCAGGCGCGGCCAUGUGCAACAGCUGGCACAUGGCGCCGGGAACGAGGAGAUACAUGGCUGGCCGCCAGCCAGGUACAGCGCAGCUGAGAGAGCUCGCUUGAGACCUCGAGGCCUGGUGACAGAAAGGCUGUGGCCUUUGGAAUCUUAGUUAUCGAACGAGCAUCUAUUCCAACGACAAAUUCAUCCAUAAAUAUGCCUGUGGAGGUUUCCAUUCCACCAUAAAGGCGAGUCAUGUGAUUAAGGAUUGGGAUCAGCAAACAUGAACAAAAACAGUCAUUCAAACAUUAGCCAGACAUCUAAAACCAGCAGUCAAGCUGUCCAAUAUAAUGUGCAAUAUUAAAAUGAUUAUGUCAAUAAACAUCUGCAUUGCUGACCAA